rnacentral:rRNA from 1 species
CCUACGGGUGGCAGCAGUCGAGAAUCAUUCACAAUGGGGGAAACCCUGAUGGUGCGACGCCGCGUGGGGGAAUGAAGGUCUUCGGAUUGUAAACCCCUGUCAUGUGGGAGCAAAUUAAAAAGAUAGUACCACAAGAGGAAGAGACGGCUAACUCUGUGCCAGCAGCCGCGGUAAUACAGAGGUCUCAAGCGUUGUUCGGAAUCACUGGGCGUAAAGCGUGCGUAGGCUGUUUCGUAAGCAGUGUGUGAAAGGCCCGGGCUCAACCCGCGGACGGCAGAUGAUACUGCGAGACUAGAGUAAUGGAGGGGGAACAGGAAUGCGCGGUGUAGCAGUGAAAUGCGUAGAUAUCGAGAAGAACACUCGUGGCGAAGGCAGGUUCCUGGACAUUAACUGACGCUGAGGCACGAAGGCCAGGGGAGCGAAAGGGAUUAGAUACCCGAGUAGUC